UGGGGAAUUUUGGACAAUGGGCGAAAGCCUGAUCCAGCAAUGCCGCGUGUGUGAAGAAGGCCUUCGGGUUGUAAAGCACUUUUGUCCGGAAAGAAAUCCUUGGCUCUAAUACAGUCGGGGGAUGACGGUACCGGAAGAAUAAGCACCGGCUAACUACGUGCCAGCAGCCGCGGUAAUACGUAGGGUGCAAGCGUUAAUCGGAAUUACUGGGCGUAAAGCGUGCGCAGGCGGUUUGCUAAGACCGAUGUGAAAUCCCCGGGCUCAACCUGGGAACUGCAUUGGUGACUGGCAGGCUAGAGUAUGGCAGAGGGGGGUAGAAUUCCACGUGUAGCAGUGAAAUGCGUAGAGAUGUGGAGGAAUACCGAUGGCGAAGGCAGCCCCCUGGGCCAAUACUGACGCUCAUGCACGAAAGCGUGGGGAGCAAACAGGAUUAGAUACCCUGGUAGUCCACGCCCUAAAACGAUGUCAACUAGUUGUUGGGGGAUUCAUUUCCUUAGUAACGUAGCUAACGCGUGAAGUUGACCGCCUGGGGAGUACGGUCGCAAGAUUAAAACUCAAAUGAAUUGACGGGGUCAUAGCUGUUUCCU
rnacentral:rRNA from 1 species